rnacentral:rRNA from 1 species
CCGUUUUCGCAAACCGACACUGGUGCGCGAGAUGAGUAUUCUAAGGCGCUUGAGAGAACUCAGGAGAAGGAACUCGGCAAAUUGAUACCGUAACUUCGGGAGAAGGUAUGCCCCAAGUAGGUGAACCUGUACAA